AUGAAGGCGAACUUAGACGCGGCGAUAGAGCAAUUGCUGAACGUGGAGAAGCAGAUGAGACUCGCCGGUGAAGUGGCAGGAACGAGAAAGGCGGUCACUGACAUUCUGCAGCUCUGCUUCGAUGCGCGAGCCUGGAAAACCCUCAACGACCAGAUUGUCGUUUUGUCGAAACGCCGGGGCCAGCUUAAACAGGCUGUAACAGCUAUGGUACAGCAAGCUAUGCAAUAUAUUGAUGAGACACCAGAUGUUGAAACUCGCAUAGAACUCAUCAAAACAUUAAACAGUGUGUCUGCAGGGAAAAUAUACGUGGAAAUAGAGAGAGCACGAUUGAUCAAGAAACUUGCAAAGAUCAAGGAAGAUCAAGGGCAUAUAGCUGAAGCUGCUGAUUUGAUGCAAGAAAUUGCGGUUGAAACUUUUGGUGCCAUGGCCAAGACUGAGAAGAUUGCAUUCAUUCUCGAACAAGUUCGUUUGUGUCUGGACCGUGAGGAUUAUGUUCGUGCACAAAUACUUUCUAGAAAAAUUAGUCCAAGAGUAUUUGAUGCCGAUACAUCUAAGGAAAAGAAAAAGCCUAAAGAAGGUGAUAAUGUUGUUGAAGAGGCCCCUGCAGAUAUACCCUCUUUGCUGGAGUUGAAGCAGAUCUACUAUGAGCUAAUGAUUAGGUAUUAUUCCCACAAUAAUGAUUAUCUUGAGAUUUGCCGUUGCUACAAAUCAAUAUAUGAGAUUCCAUCUGUCAAAGAAGACCCUGCAAAGUGGACUCCUAUCCUAAGGAAAAUAUGCUGGUACUUGGUUCUAGCACCACAUGAUCCAAUGCAGUCAAGCCUUCUGAAUUCCACUCUGGAGGAUAAGAAUCUAUCUGAGAUUCCAAGCUUCAAGUUACUUUUGAAACAGCUGAUUACCAUGGAAGUUAUCCAAUGGACAACUCUAUGGGAUACAUAUAAGAACGAUUUUGAGAAUGAGAAAGCUUCCGGGGAAUCUUUGGGUGAAAAAGCAGCAGAGGAUCUGAAGCAACGAAUAAUUGAACAUAACAUUCUUGUUGUUUCAAAAUACUACGCAAGAAUUACCUUGAAGAGACUUGCAGAGCUUUUGUGUCUCAGUGUGCAGGAAGCUGAGAAGCAUCUUUCAGAUAUGGUAGUGUCUAAGGCGCUGGUGGCAAAGAUUGAUAGGCCAAUGGGAAUAGUCUGUUUCCAAACCGCAAAGGAUAGCAAUGAUAUUCUUAACUCAUGGGCAGCAAACCUGGAUAAACUUCUUGAUCUUGUGGAGAAGAGUUGUCAUCAAAUACACAAGGAAACCAUGGUCCAUAAAGCUGUGUUGAAGGUUUAAGAAGAUCUAUAUCAGCAGUUACAAUCACAGGGGCACUCUAAUAUAGACGUGAUUUUGUACUGAAGUUGCAUAUUUCAGGAAUCUUUUUAAAUCGUCACCGACCGAGUUGCUGCGUGCAAUGCAUCUAUUGUUCGAGUACGUAAAUUUGGGGAUCUUCGAAGGCUACGUCGGUGGAUGAGUUUCGGGGGAAGAUAGUAUUAAACUCCCACUUUGUUGUUUGGAUUAGAAAAAGAAGGGAAUAAGUAAUUAUCAAAUUAUCAUGAAGCGAUCUAGUCUUUUGGUUAACGGCUCUUUGUUGCAUAAUACUUUUUUGUGGUGCUAUCACGGAUAUGAAUUUUUUGUAAACGUGUGAUGUGGCUUUGCAUCAUUUCCUCGUUUGGAGAAUACAUCAGUUAUAAAUAAAUUGAAAUUACCCUGCGCAGACGGAAGUCAUAAUUAAAUUGGAAA